CGCGGCCUAUCAGCUUGUUGGUGGGGCAAUGGCUCACCAAGGCGUCGACGGGUAGCCGGCCUGAGAGGGUGACCGGCCACACUGGGACUGAGACACGGCCCAGACUCCUACGGGAGGCAGCAGUGGGGAAUAUUGCACAAUGGGCGCAAGCCUGAUGCAGCAACGCCGCGUGAGGGACGACGGCCUUCGGGUUGUAAACCUCUUUUAGCAGGGAAGAAGCGAAAGUGACGGUACCUGCAGAAAAAGCGCCGGCUAACUACGUGCCAGCAGCCGCGGUAAUACGUAGGGCGCAAGCGUUAUCCGGAAUUAUUGGGCGUAAAGAGCUCGUAGGCGGUUUGUCGCGUCUGCUGUGAAAUCCGGAGGCUCAACCUCCGGCCUGCAGUGGGUACGGGCAGACUAGAGUGCGGUAGGGGAGAUUGGAAUUCCUGGUGUAGCGGUGGAAUGCGCAGAUAUCAGGAGGAACACCGAUGGCGAAGGCAGAUCUCUGGGCCGUAACUGACGCUGAGGAGCGAAAGGGUGGGGAGCAAACAGGCUUAGAUACCCUGGUAGUCCACCCCGUAAACGUUGGGAACUAGUUGUGGGGUCCAUUCCACGGAUUCCGUGACGCAGCUAACGCAUUAAGUUCCCCGCCUGGGGAGUACGG
rnacentral:rRNA from 1 species